UAAGUAAUGCUAAAUAUUAAUCCAGUAGUCUUCCUCAACAAAUUGUUAUUAUCAGUCACAUUUUAAUAUCACAGUUAACAUAAGCUGCAUUACUAUCAAUUAAACAAAUAAUGAACUCAGUAUUUCAUAAUUAUGGCAUUUAUUAUAUCGAUUUAAACCAUAUCUGAAAACAAUUAUUAUUAUAAAACUCGUUUGGAGAUGUGACUUUGACAAGAUUUUUACAAUAGUUUUAUUGAUCUUCAAGAUAAGUUGCAUCAAAAUAUAUGAAGAAAACGUAGUUUGAUCUCUAUUUUGGCACUCACGAUUUGGAUACAAUUAAAGGUCCAUUUCUAUAUAAUGCUAGACACCAUAAAAAAUAUGGUUCAAACCACUUAAUCAAGAUAAAAUGUAUACAAGAGAAAAAAUUAUGCAAUUAUAUGCAGUAAGUUUCUUGCUCUUUUUCUCAUUAUGUUUGUAAAUUCUGUAAGUAAUUGCAAUGUAAUCAAACGGUCCCUUUUUUAAAUCUCCAUUCUGGAAGACCAAAGAUUUGUCUCAUGCAAAAUUAUAUAAAUUUAAAAUCUGUGUAUAAAAUCAAAUUUACAAUCUGUUAUUUACAAGUUCGUUGCUCUUACAGCCAUACAUUGAGAUUCCAAUUAAUGUAAAUAAUCCUACAUGUAGAAAAUGAUUAAUACAUAUUCAUGUCUAACUACGUUUGCAGAUACAUGCGCACUUAAACAGCAUUUACUAAAAGUCACUCCUGUUUAUCCCAUUAUACAUGGUAAUGGAGUUGUUUUAUCUUUGUCUCCUAUCAUUAAUGGAAGUCAUUCAAAGAUCACACUUAAUACAAAAAAUAUUUUUAUCGAAUGCACAGCAACUGAUCUUACAAAGGUACGUGGAUUUACAUUGUUUAAUUUUAAUCUGUAUAUAUUUAUUGACAAAAAAUACUUAAAAUAGAUGCUUUAAAAAUAAGAUGCUAUAAUUAAUAUAUAAAAUAUAUACGUUAUAAAUUAUUAUAAAUUAUUACAAAUUGUAAAUAACCUGUAGACAAAGAUAGCGGUAGAUACUUUAGUUUGUGCAUUUAGUUAGUAUCGUAAGACGAAGUAUACAACUGAAAUUGUAGAAGUGGUAUACAGAUAAUCAAACCUUCUAUUAUCCAAAAUUAAAGUAUCGAACGGAAGAAAUCAGUUGCAAUAAAGAGAUUAAUUAUAUUGGCAUUGAGUACGUGAUCGCACCUUUUCCGUCAUGGACGUAGAAUAAUGAUUACGAGAUGACAGUUGCUGUUACCAAUUAACAAGGGACCGAGAAAUCUCAAUCGCAGUACUUGCGGUGACAACAUUUAAAAGCUAACUAGAUCAGGCGAACAAGAAAAUCACAUAGGGUGAGAAGUCGCUUUCUUCAUCUGACGGUAUCUCUCGAUAACAUAGUCGAUUAGCUUGUUUAAUGGCUGAUUUUAACAAGCAUGAAUUACUACGUGGUUCGUUACCACGAAUCACUUGAAAGAAGAGAAAGAAAAAUAGAAUACUCAGUAUUAUAGGCCAUAUUAGUCUUCUUCUUCAACGUUUUAAUUGAAAAGACGAUUUUGUGCUGAAAAAAAA
rnacentral:sRNA from 1 species